rnacentral:rRNA from 1 species
UACGGAGGAUGCGAGCGUUAUCCGGAUUUAUUGGGUUUAAAGGGUGCGUAGGCGGCCUUUUAAGUCAGCGGUGAAAGUCUGUGGCUCAACCAUAGAAUUGCCGUUGAAACUGGGGGGCUUGAGUACAGGAGGGGCAGGCGGAAUUCCUGGUGUAGCGGUGAAAUGCGUAGAUAUCAGGAGGAACACCGGCGGCGAAGGCGGCCUGCUGGACUGAAACUGACGUUGAGGCUCGAAAGCGUGGGGAGCAAACAGG